rnacentral:rRNA from 1 species
AACGAACGCUGGCGGCAUGCCUAACACAUGCAAGUCGAACGAGACCUUCGGGUCUAGUGGCGCACGGGUGCGUAACGCGUGGGAACCUGCCCUUAGGUUCGGAAUAACUCCCCGAAAGGGGUGCUAAUACCGGAUAAUGUCUUCGGACCAAAGAUUUAUCGCCGUUGGAUGGGCCCUCGUUGGAUUAGCUAGUUGGUAGGGUAAAAGCCUACCAAGGCGUCGAUCCAUAGCUGGUCUGAGAGGAUGAUCAGCCACACUGGGACUGAGACACGGCCCAGACUGCUACGGGAGGCAGCAGUGGGGAAUAUUGGACAAUGGGCGAAAGCCUGAUCCAGCAAUGCCGCGUGAGUGAUGAAGGCCUUAGGGUUGUAAAGCUCUUUUACCCGGGAUGAUAAUGACAGUACCGGGAGAAUAAGCUCCGGCUAACUCCGUG